rnacentral:lncRNA from 1 species
AGUUUUAAGUUAACCAUGUAUAUGUCUGAUGUGUACACUUGCACCGUUGCACGGCACCGAUCUAUUUUAUCUUUAUAAGACGCCACGUGCAUAAUCACCCCAUCCCCUUAAAAAAGAGAUAUUAAAAUUUAUUUGUUUUUUUAGGAAAUUAAUAAUUAUUCGUUUUUUUAUAUAAAAAAAACAGUAUCAUGAAUCAUUCAUCCCAAACAUAUAUGUCGUGGGGAUAAAUAGGCAAGUAGUGAAUAAAAAAGGUUAUCAUGGCAUUAGGAUAAUUAUAGGAAGAUAGAUAUAUCUUUCACUUUCAGAGGAAUAAGAGUCGUAAUUCAAACUCACAAGAAACCUUAGAAACAAAUUACCUUCUCGAAAUGAUAAAACCUCAUCCAUUGAACAUCAUUUCCCUAUCAUCGAUAUUUAGGACCACCCAAUUAUAUAGUCUUCCAUUCUCUUCUCACUUGAUUUGUUUAGUGAGUAAGCAUAUUAUCAUCAAAUGUUGCUUGUCCCAAGAAGAAAAAGAAUAACUGAUCAUAUUUAUCAUCCACUAGUUCCAUUCAACAACAAUAAUAGUCCCAUACUUUUUUGGCACUUUUACAUUCAGCAAACUAAAGUCCAAAAUCAAGACUCUUAGGAACGAUUUCACAGACUCAAAUAGAUUCUGGCCAAUCCAAUUAAGAAGUUCAGUGAACAUAAUACAACCUCCACCAGCUCCAACCUCUCUUCAUGACACAUAACCAUCUCUUAUGUGUCUUAUACCUGAUAGGCUAGCUGCCUCUCUUUCGUUCUGUUAUAAUUGUCCAUUAGAUGAGAAGAAUCAUAUUUCAUCUAACCAAAUUACCAAUAGCACGAUUCUUAAGUAUUGGACAAAACAAAAUAUACAAUAUGUAGACGUAUAAGUAACAAAAUACCAUAACAGCUGGUAAAAGAAACAAGAUAGAAUUUGAGUUUUGUUAACUUAAC